GUUAUCCCCUGUCUUCCACUUUGUAACAUACAGCUUCUCCACCAUAAAGAAAGAUAAAUAUCUUAUUCAAUUCAGAAACAACACUCAGACACUGCUCUUUUGUACUUCCCAAACUUUCUAUAUAUUUUCCCAAAAACAAAACAAAGGGAUGGCACGAAUAAUCUCAAUCUUUUAAGAACUACUGAAGAAGUACAUAGAAGCCAAAAAAGAAUUCAAAGGAAACAGAGAAGCCAACGAAAACUCCAAAGAUUUUCCGAUUGACACUGACGCCCAAGCUCCGACGUAGCCAAACCUCCCCAGCGACGACUAUCUGUUCCGCCCACAGAUGGGCCAAUCAUCUUAGACUUCAGUUUAACCACCGAGCCUGUACCGCCACUUUGUUUUCUUCGCCACCAUCUGUUCCCAUUGACAUCAGUUUUUAUCAUGGUUUUGCUCAGUCCUUAACCAACAUAUAUUCUCAGUUGUUUAUCACUAUGUAAUCUGAUUGUCCGAAAUCUAAGAGGACCAGAAUAGCAUUUGAAGCUAGGGUCUCUAAACCACCCCAAUUUGGUUAAAGAAGCUCUGAAGCUUUUGGCUAGAGCUUUGACUCGCUUCGAGAUAGUUUUCCGAAUUUGACUCUACCUCUCUUGGUUUGGUUUUGAUUCUUUUUGGCAGGAGGAAGGAUUGAGUCCCCUUGCACCAGAUUUACGUGCUAAAAUGGAUGAGACCUUUGAAGCUUAUGUCUUGGAGCUUCUUAGUUUUCUGUUCGGUUAUGAUCCCGCAAACUUAUGUAUCUCACCCUUGCAGAGCUCAACCAAUGCUGUUGAUAUCUGAUCCUCAGAUAAUUGAGUUUAUAUGUAAGGCAAAAGUAACUGGUAUCCAUGCAUAUAAAGGUUGGUGUUACAUUGGUUGCUCUAGCGAGAGAUUUCUUCUUUCACAUUCAUCGUAUGUGAUAAAUCUGUCCUAAGGUCUCAUGUGGAGCUAUGUGUAUCAGACGAGCUGGAUGAGGCUGUCUUUGUCGCUUUUGAUAUGGAGAUGGAAAAGUUGGCAAACAUUCAAGCUGCUGAAGCUGCACAAAUUUUGGGUGUAGGUGUGAAUGCUCAUGUGGACAACGAACUACCCCACUUUGUAGCCUGAUAUUAUAGGCAAAACCUACACUUUUCCAGCUCAAGCUAUGGGAGUUUAAUUUCACUUCCAAACACCAAACCUUCACCGUUUCCCGUAUAAUUUCUUAGGAACAGCGUGCACCACUCCCAGAAUUUGUCAUACAAGUUCUUAUAAGGAUUUGCCUGUAGAGAAACCAGUAGCACCAUAGCGCUCAACUGGUGAGCAAAACACUGUUGUAGAGAUAUCACGUUGUGCGACAGCAAAAGUCCGAGAGACUACAAGUGACGACCCUCAACUAUCCUCAUCUGCUGUACCAGCAAGCGUUCGUCAUGCAGAAGUACAAGUCGAAGCUUGAUCCAAAUGAGAGUGGAAAAAGAAGGCACACAAGACAUAGCUCCACGUGACAAGGAAAGUCCACCUCUGUUUGCUUCAAAUAAUCUUAUAGGGUCACUUUGAAUUUUACAUUAUUAAACUAAAUGUAGUGGUGGAUCUUUGAGUUAUUAUUGCAAAUUUAUUUCCUCAAAUGGCUUUCUCUUUGUUUUAAGACGUAGAGUCUAAUAAUGUAAAAUAACGGUGGAUCAAAAUAUUAUUUUAGAUAUAAACCAGCUAUAUUAUUCCUUA